ACAAUGUUAAAUCCAUGCAAGAGGUUGGCUUUAUCAACCCCUUCAUUGAUGGGCCCAGAGGAGGCACCCCCAGAUUGGAGGGGCUCUACCUCCAGGGAAGCCCCCAGGCAUUGCUCUUAGCAUGCCUCCUACACUCUGAUACACCUUAGUGAUGACUGGGUUGCAAACUUUUUUCCAGCUCUUUCUGCUGAUGUUUAAAUUCUUCCUUUUCUGCAGUCUGAUUCUUAUCAAGCUAAUUGAUGAUUUCAUUGCACUUGACAAGAAUCUUCUAUUUGUCAUCACCAUUU